UACGGAGGGUGCGAGCGUUAAUCGGAAUUACUGGGCGUAAAGGGUGCGUAGGUGGUUUAAUAAGUUAUCUGUGAAAGUCCUGGGCUUAACCUGGGGGUGCAGCUAAGACUGUUGAGCUAGAGUAUAGGAGAGGGUAGUGGAAUUUCCGGUGUAGCGGUGAAAUGCGUAGAGAUCGGAAGGAACACCAGUGGCGAAGGCGGCUACCUGGCCUAAUACUGACACUGAGGCACGAAAGCGUGGGGAGCAAACAGG
rnacentral:misc_RNA from 1 species